UAUAUGUUAUUAUUCUAAAAACAAAGGUGAUUUUUAAGGUAGUUCAGCCUCACUUCAUGCAUGAAGCUAGAAAAAGUACCAAGGGGCAAGCAAGCUGCUGCAUGGUAUACACCUCUGCUGUGGGUGGCACCCUGACCGCUGGACUGCCAGUCCUGUACUAUUGAUCCAUCUCCCAUGACGUAGGGAACACAUAGGAGAUGUUCACAUGAUAUCAGCUAGAGCUGUUCUUGGUAUGUCAACCCAUGCAUUUGUAUGUGGUAAGUUCUCCAGUUUGAUAUCUU
rnacentral:lncRNA from 1 species